rnacentral:rRNA from 1 species
GACGAACGCUUUCGGCGUGCUUAACACAUGCAAGUCGAACGGAAAGGCCCUGCUUUUGUGGGGUGCUCGAGUGGCGAACGGGUGAGUAACACGUGAGUAACCUGCCCUUGACUUUGGGAUAACUUCAGGAAACGGGGGCUAAUACCGGAUAGGAGCUCCUGCUGCAUGGUGGGGGUUGGAAAGUUUCGGCGGUUGGGGAUGGACUCGCGGCUUAUCAGCUUGUUGGUGGGGUAGUGGCUUACCAAGGCUUUGACGGGUAGCCGGCCUGAGAGGGUGACCGGCCACAUUGGGACUGAGAUACGGCCCAGACUCCUACGGGAGGCAGCAGUGGGGAAUAUUGCACAAUGGGCGGAAGCCUGAUGCAGCAACGCCGCGUGCGGGAUGACGGCCUUCGGGUUGUAAACCGCUUUCGCCUGUGACGAAGCGUGAGUGACGGUAAUGGGUAAAGAAGCACCGGCUAACUACGUGCCAGCAGCCGCGGUGAUACGUAGGGUGCGAGCGUUGUCCGGAUUUAUUGGGCGUAAAGGGCUCGUAGGUGGUUGAUCGCGUCGGAAGUGUAAUCUUGGGGCUUAACCCUGAGCGUGCUUUCGAUACGGGUUGACUUGAGGAAGGUAGGGGAGAAUGGAAUUCCUGGUGGAGCGGUGGAAUGCGCAGAUAUCAGGAGGAACACCAGUGGCGAAGGCGGUUCUCUGGGCCUUUCCUGACGCUGAGGAGCGAAAGCGUGGGGAGCGAACAGGCUUAGAUACCCUGGUAGUCCACGCUGUAAACGGUGGGUACUAGGUGUGGGGUCCAUUCCACGGGUUCCGUGCCGUAGCUAACGCUUUAAGUACCCCGCCUGGGGAGUACGGCCGCAAGGCUAAAACUCAAAGGAAUUGACGGGGCCCCGCACAUGCGGCGGAGCAUGCGGAUUAAUUCGAUGCAACGCGUAGAACCUUACCUGGGUUUGACAUGGAUCGGGAGUGCUCAGAGAUGGGUGUGCCUCUUUUGGGGUCGGUUCACAGGUGGUGCAUGGCUGUCGUCAGCUCGUGUCGUGAGAUGUUGGGUUAAGUCCCGCAACGAGCGCAACCCUUGUUCACUGUUGCCAGCACGUUAUGGUGGGGACUCAGUGGAGACCGCCGGGGUCAACUCGGAGGAAGGUGGGGAUGACGUCAAGUCAUCAUGCCCCUUAUGUCCAGGGCUUCACGCAUGCUACAAUGGCUGGUACAGAGAGUGGCGAGCCUGUGAGGGUGAGCGAAUCUCGGAAAGCCGGUCUCAGUUCGGAUUGGGGUCUGCAACUCGACCUCAUGAAGUCGGAGUCGCUAGUAAUCGCAGAUCAGCAACGCUGCGGUGAAUACGUUCCCGGG